rnacentral:rRNA from 1 species
UACGUAAGAGGCUAGUAUUAUUCAUAAGAAUUAGGUUUAAAGGGUACCUAGGCGGUCUUAAUAGCUUGUUAAAAAUGCAACUAUUUGACUAGAGUUAUAUAUAAGAGGGCAGAACUUUAGGAGGAGAGAUAAUAUUCUGUGAUACCGAAGGGACUGGUAACGGCGAAGGCAGCCCUCUAUGUAGUAACUGACGCUAAGGGACGAAGGCAUUGGUAACAAACAGG